UACGGAGGGGGCUAGCGUUGUUCGGAAUUACUGGGCGUAAAGCGUACGUAGGCGGCUUUGUAAGUUAGAGGUGAAAGCCCGGAGCUCAACUUCGGAAUUGCCUUUAAGACUGCAUCGCUUGAACGUCGGAGAGGUGAGUGGAAUUCCGAGUGUAGAGGUGAAAUUCGUAGAUAUUCGGAAGAACACCAGUGGCGAAGGCGGCUCACUGGACGACUGUUGACGCUGAGGUACGAAAGCGUGGGGAGCAAACAGG
rnacentral:rRNA from 1 species